rnacentral:rRNA from 1 species
UGGAAACGAUAGCUAAUACCGCAUAACAACAGUUGUUGCAUGACAGCUGUUUGAAAGGGGCAAUUGCUCCACUACCAGAUGGACCUGCGUUGUAUUAGCUAGUUGGUGAGGUAACGGCUCACCAAGGCGACGAUACAUAGCCGACCUGAGAGGGUGAUCGGCCACACUGGGACUGAGACACGGCCCAG